CUCACAACAGCCCCAGUGAGGU
rnacentral:miRNA from 1 species